GUGUAAACAUUUGUGAAAUCUCGCAGCUUCUUCAGCACUCCUUUAUGCUCCAGGUAAAUUGUUAAUUAAGGAUAAUUUCAUUGAGUUUGUUUUAAUCUCUUUACGAAUUACUUUCUGUAUAUUAGCAUAUAAGAUCAAUAUGACUUAUAGGCCCUGCGUCUCUCGGUCCAACCACUUCUCCUCCUACAGAAACCCAAAUUCCUGAAGGCCCUGCUUCUUUCGGUCCCGCCACUUCUCCGACAAGUUCGAUGGAUCCUGAUGGCAUGCCUGAUGACACGGAUGUUUCCGGACCGCGCAACGGAGGAGACCCGAGGGAGCCACCAAAGACUUCAGCGUCGUCGCCUUCCUCUUCACUCUCUCUCAAGCUUUCGCUUCUUCUAUUUGCUGUGGGGACACACUACAGUUGAUUAAUAUAAAGAACAAAUCAGCAUAUUUUUUCCUAAUUGGGGAACAAAUCAGUCAAACCAUAUAUACAAGACGUUUUUGUUUUCUUGCUGUUAUACAAAAGGGAAAUUUACCAUGCAGGAGUGAGACGUUUCUCCUUGGGAUGCAAGUCAUCUCCAGAAUAUCUAUCUGAGUUCUCUGAGUAUUUGUACGUUGGUGGGAAAUAGAUCUUUCCUUCGUUCCAUCCUUUGAACACAUGGCCUCGUUUCUUCUCCAUUCUUAACUACAUGUAAACAUUCUUCUUGAAAUAAGAAACUUAAUGCUCUUUGUUCA